rnacentral:tRNA from 1 species
GUCACCUGUAGUGUAAUGAAUAGCGCGUUGGACUUCUAAUCCAAAGGUUGUGGGUACGAAUCCCACCUGGGAUG